rnacentral:rRNA from 1 species
CAUAGGUUUCCGUAGGUGAACCAGCGGAGGGAUCAUU